rnacentral:rRNA from 1 species
UACGUAGGGGGCUAGCGUUGUCCGGAAUCAUUGGGCGUAAAGAGCGUGUAGGCGGUCCGGUAAGUCCGUUGUGAAAGUCAAGGGCUCAACCCUUGAAUGCCGGCGGAUACUGUCGGGCUAGAGUCCGGAAGAGGCGAGUGGAAUUCCCGGUGUAGCGGUGAAAUGCGCAGAUAUCGGGAGGAACACCUAUGGCGAAGGCAGCUCGCUGGGACGGCACUGACACUGAGACGCGAAAGCGUGGGGAGCAAACAGG